CUGUAGUCCCAGUUGCUUGGGAGGCUGAGGCACAAGAAUCACUUGAACCCAGGAGGCAGAGGUAGCGGUAAGCAGAGAUCUCGCCAUUACACUCCAGCCUGGGCAACAAGAGCAAAACUCCAUCUUAAAAAAAAAAGAAAA